rnacentral:snoRNA from 1 species
AUGACCUUCCAAGUUUUAAAAGAAGAGGAUGAUAUUAUUUGCGUAUAUUUAAUCGAACAAUUCUUUCUCGAGGUGUGUUUGAACAUACACUCGAGGUUUUAAUGGAGAAAGCGGUUCCUGCGCAGAAAAUUGAUCUUGUUACAUUCUCACGAAUGAUUCAAGGACGCUCAAUUAGAAAAUUCUGAUUCUU